GAUGAACGCUGGCGGCGUGCCUAAUACAUGCAAGUCGAGCGAACAGACGAGGAGCUUGCUCCUCUGACGUUAGCGGCGGACGGGUGAGUAACACGUGGAUAACCUACCUAUAAGACUGGGAUAACUUCGGGAAACCGGAGCUAAUACCGGAUAAUAUAUUGAACCGCAUGGUUCAAUAGUGAAAGACGGUUUUGCUGUCACUUAUAGAUGGAUCCGCGCCGCAUUAGCUAGUUGGUAAGGUAACGGCUUACCAAGGCAACGAUGCGUAGCCGACCUGAGAGGGUGAUCGGCCACCCUGGAACUGAGACACGGUCCAGACUCCUACGGGAAGCAGCAGUAGGGAAUCUUCCGCAAUGGGCGAAAGCCUGACAGAGCAACGCCGCGUGAGUGAUGAAGGUCUUCGGAUCGUAAAACUCUGUUAUUAGGGAAGAACAAAUGUGUAAGUAACUAUGCACGUCUUGACGGUACCUAAACAGAAAGCCACGGCUAACUACGUG
rnacentral:rRNA from 1 species